rnacentral:rRNA from 1 species
GAAUAUUGGACAAUGGGCGCAAGCCUGAUCCAGCAAUGCCGCGUGUGUGAAGAAGGUCUUCGGAUUGUAAAGCACUUUCGGCGGGGACGAUGAUGACGGUACCCGCAGAAGAAGCCCCGGCUAACUUCGUGCCAGCAGCCGCGGGAAUACGAAGGGGGCUAGCGUUGCUCGGAAUUACUGGGCGUAAAGGGCGCGUAGGCGGCGGUGUCAGUCAGGCGUGAAAUUCCUGGGCUUAACCUGGGGGCUGCGCUUGAUACGGCAUUGCUAGAGGACGGAAGAGGGUCGUGGAAUUCCCAGUGUAGAGGUGAAAUUCGUAGAUAUUGGGAAGAACACCGGUGGCGAAGGCGGCGACCUGGUCCGUUACUGACGCUGAGGCGCGACAGCGUGGGGAGCAAACAGG